rnacentral:rRNA from 1 species
AUACGUAGGGGGCGAGCGUUGUCCGGAAUGAUUGGGCGUAAAGGGCGCGUAGGCGGCCCGGUAAGUCUGGAGUGAAAGUCCUGUUUUUAAGAUGGGAAUUGCUUUGGAUACUGUCGGGCUUGAGUGCAGGAGAGGUAAGUGGAAUUCCCAGUGUAGCGGUGAAAUGCGUAGAGAUUGGGAGGAACACCAGUGGCGAAGGCGACUUACUGGACUGUAACUGACGCUGAGGCGCGAAAGUGUGGGGAGCAAACAGGAUUAGAUACCCUGGUAGUCCACACUGUGAACGAUGAAUGCUAGGUGUAGGGGGUAUCGACCCCUUCUGUGCCGCAGUCAACACAAUAAGUAAUCCACCUGGGGAGUACGGCCGCAAGGUUGAAACUCAAAUGAAUUGACGGGG